GACGAACGCUGGCGGCAUGCCUAAUACAUGCAAGUCGAGCGAACGGAUGAAGUGCUUGCACUUCUGACGUUAGCGGCGAACGGGUGAGUAACACGUAAGGAAUCUACCUAUAAGCGGGGGAUAACAUUCGGAAACGGGUGCUAAUAACGAAUAAUACCUUCUUCCGCCUGGAAGAAGAUUGAAAGACGGCUCUGCUGUCACUUAGAGUUGACCUAGCGGUGCAUUAGUUAGUUGGUGGGGUAAUGGCCUACCAAGCCGAUGAUGCAUAGCCGACCUGAGAGGGUGACCGGCCACAUUGGGACUGAGACACGGCACAAACUCCUACGGGAGGCAGCAGUAGGGAAUCUUCCGCAAUAGGCGAAAGCCUGACGGAGCAAUGCCGCGUGAGUGAAGAAGGCCUUCGGGUCGUAAAACUCUGUUAUAAGAGAAGAACAAAUUGUAGAGUAACUGCUACAGUCUUGACGGUAUCUUAUCAGAAAGCCACGGCUAACUACGUGCCAGCAGCCGCGGUAA
rnacentral:rRNA from 1 species